AACAACAACCAUGUUCUCUGGAGCUCUGCUGCUGCUGUUGGCAGCUGGAUGUGUGAAGGGUGAAACGUUGACUCAGCCAGCCUCUGUGACUGUGCAGCCAGGUCAACGUCUGACCAUCACCUGUCAGGUCUCUUAUACUCUUAGCAGCUACUACACAGCUUGGAUCAGACAGCCUGCAGGGAAAGGACUGGAGUGGAUCGGAAUGAAAUAUACUGGAGGCUCACACUACAAAGAUUCACUGAAGAACAAGUUCAGUAUCGACUUAGACUCUUCCAGCAACACAGUGACUCUAAACGGACAGAACGUGCAGCCUGAAGACUCUGCUGUGUAUUACUGUGCCAGACACACACACUGGUUAAAGUUACCAGAGAAGCUGUACAAAAACCUUAAAGAAUGUAUUCUUACAAAGACCAACAGGGGGCAGUAGGAGACCUCAAAUAUG